UCCGUCAGUGACUCCGGCAGGACGGAACGAUCAUGCAUUUAAUGACCGAGCCAUCAAACAACUGUGAGGCCCUCCAUUUCUUGGAAAGUCAGAGGAUUACAUCUUCAACUCAGAAAUAAAGUCUACGUGGUUUCCUUUGACUCAUAAAAUAUUUGCUAACAUGGGGUUAUUGUGAGUCAUCAAACUUGAUUCAACAUCGCCAUUCAUGGGGAGAUAAGAGAACACUCUCUAAGAAACUCAUCAACUACCCACCGUUGCCACUAAAGUCUUAUUCUUUGCAAAGGAACCGUCCAAAAACUUGCAACAUAGUGUACUUGCCAACAAGAGUACAACAGAGAAGAUACACCCUGAAAAGAAGCCUUUAUCCUGAAGGCGCAUUUUAUAUGAUUGUCAUCACAUACACUUAAAGGAUCUCAGUCCUUGGUCAAUAAUCUAAGGAUGAUGUAUCUGGUACUGAUUCUAACACUCUUUUCACGAAUUGAAGGUUCAUUUAGGACAGCAUUUAAUUAGAGUAAUUAUAGAAGAGACUUCACAGGUCACGUUUUAUCUCUAUUUACCAAGUUGCCUUAUUGGUAGUAGAUUUAAAAGCUCCUCUACCCAUGCUCCCCAUCGUGCUAUUUUUAGUGGUACUUUUCCAUUUGCAACAUUUAAAGGUCUAUCAAGUCCUUUGAAUUUUGGCUGAAGGAAAGAAAAAAAAAAAAAAAAAAAAACCCUUUUGAACAGUGAUGUGGAUUCUGGGAGAAAUCAUCUUUUUUUUGACCUGCUUUUGAACCGCAGCUCUUACGUGGGCAAUCCCAGACUAUUGACUCCUUGCAAAAGCUGUAAAUGUGCAUGAGAAGAAACAAACUCCUGGCAGGGGGCGGGGGGUGGAGAGGGUGGGGGGAUCAGGAUUGGACUUCUGGCUGUUCUGGAAAACACGCUAGAGCACACGGUUUCCAUGUGUCUUGAACAUUCAUGAUCUGAAGAACACACAAGAGGAUAAUAUUCUCAUAGGUUUUUUUUAAGUUUCUUUUUCUUUUUAGGGCUGCAUCUGUGGCAUAUGGAUGGUCCCAGGCCAGGGGUCGAAUCAGAGCUAUGGCUGCCAGCCUACACCACAGCCACAGCCACGCCAGAUCUGAGCUGCAUCUGCGACCUACACCACAGCUCACUGCCCUUCCGGAUCCCUAACCCGCUGAGCGAGGCCAGGGAUCAAACCAGCAUCCUCGUGGAUCCUAGUCGGAUUCGUGAAGCACUGAGCCAUGAAGGGAAUGCUUCCUUUUAUUGAAUAAUACAUCCAGAACCUAUCCCAUCAUUAUUAGGGCACAAGUAAAGAAGCAAAAACUAAUUGGAAUAACUUGCAAAAGUGCACUUACAGGAGUUCCCGUUGUGGCGCAGUGGUUAACGAAUCUGACUAGGAACCAUGAGGUUGCAGGUUCGGUCCCUGGCCUUGCUCAGUGGGUUAAGGAUCCAGCGUUGCGGUGAGCUGUGGUGUAGGUUGCAGACGAGGCUUGGCUUGGAUCCCGCGUUGCUGUGGCUCUACUGUAGGCCAGUGGCUACAGCUCUGAUUGGACCCCUCGCCUGGGAACCUCCACA
rnacentral:lncRNA from 1 species